rnacentral:rRNA from 1 species
AGUGAACGCUGGCGGUAGGCCUAACACAUGCCAGUCGAACGGCAGCACAGUAAGAGCUUGCUCUUACGGGUGGCGAGUGGCGGACGGGUGAGGAAUACAUCGGAAUCUACUUUUUCGUGGGGGAUAACGUAGGGAAACUUACGCUAAUACCGCAUACGACCUACGGGUGAAAGCAGGGGAUCUUCGGACCUUGCGCGAUUGAAUGAGCCGAUGUCGGAUUAGCUAGUUGGCGGGGUAAAGGCCCACCAAGGCGACGAUCCGUAACUGGUCUGAGAGGAUGAUCAGCCACGCUGGAACUGAGACACGGUCCAGACUCCUACGGGAGGCAGCAGUGGGGAAUAUUGGACAAUGGGCGCAAGCCUGAUCCAGCCAUACCGCGUGGGUGAAGAAGGCCUUCGGGUUGUAAAGCCCUUUUGUUGGGAAAGAAAAGCAGCAGGUUAAUACCCCGCUGUUCUGACGGUACCCAAAGAAUAAGCACCGGCUAACUUCGUG